rnacentral:misc_RNA from 1 species
UCAAGAUCGCCUUUGUUGUUGAUAUGAAACCGUGUAAAUGACUUGUAGUUAGCAAUACGAAGUGAUGAAAAGGCUUCGUCGAAAUGUAUAUGAAGCCAGUUAAUGCAAAUGUAUAGGUAGCUUCCGAAUACCAAAGAAACCACCGGAGUUGAAAAGACCCAAAAAUAAAGGAAGACGGAUGCAUAAUAAAUUACAGCACCCCCUCGAGAUAGUGAAUCCAUCCCAUUCUUGCAGAUAGUAUUCCUAGUAACUGCCAUUACCUCAGGAACAUCAAAAGCAGACAUGAGAUAUUUAAUACAUGCCGGAUAAAGGCCAAAUGUCCAGUGUUCAAUUCGUUCCUUAAGACCCGUUGGGUCUGGA